UGUACCCAAGAAUUUAGGGUAGGUAACAAUGGUUUACUCUGUUAGUGGCCGUAUGGCCCUUGUGCCCUCUAUAGCAUCAAAGAUUGUUCAACUAGUUUAGCUAAGCUGUAGGCCUUCAUUAACGUUCUCGGCGCCAACAUUCUUACUUGAACCUCAAUCUCUGGCUUUAAUGCAUUUAACAGAAAACUGAUGGAGUACUCCUCGG
rnacentral:lncRNA from 1 species